rnacentral:rRNA from 1 species
UACAGAGGGUGCGAACGUUGUCCGGAAUCACUGGGCGUAAAGGGCGCGUAGGCGGCUUGGUAAGCGUGCGGUGAAAGCCCGGGGCUCAACCCCGGGUCGGCCGUGCGAACUGCUGGGCUGGAGCACUGUAGAGGCAGGUGGAAUUCCGGGUGUAGCGGUGGAAUGCGUAGAGAUCCGGAAGAACACCGGUGGCGAAGGCGGCCUGCUGGGCAGUAGCUGACGCUGAGGCGCGACAGCGUGGGGAGCAAACAGG